rnacentral:lncRNA from 1 species
AGAAAGAGUAAAUAGUGAAAAACGUUGAGGUGGAUGAGGCGCAACUUUUUUGACAUUUGACCGAAGAGAUUUGACCUUUCUGUAAGGGGCAUAACCCCUGUUUUUAUAUUUUAAGUUUUUUGUGUGUAAGAACUUUUCAAUACAUUCUACGUCUAUUGGAACUUAUAUUUUACAUUACAAAAGGAAAGACCUCUCAAUUGUUCAAGAACAAUUGA